GACGAACGCUGGCGGCGUGCUUAACACAUGCAAGUCGAACGGAAAGGCCCUGCUUGCCGGGUACUCGAGUGGCGAACGGGUGAGUAACACGUGGGUGAUCUGCCCUGCACUUCGGGAUAAGCUUGGGAAACUGGGUCUAAUACCGGAUAGUACCGCACUUUAGUGUGUGUGGUGGAAAGUUUUUUCGGUGUAGGAUGAGCUCGCGGCCUAUCAGCUUGUUGGUGGGGUAAUGGCCUACCAAGGCGGCGACGGGUAGCCGGCCUGAGAGGGUGUACGGCCACAUUGGGACUGAGAUACGGCCCAGACUCCUACGGGAGGCAGCAGUGGGGAAUAUUGCACAAUGGGCGCAAGCCGGAUGCAGCGACGCCGCGUGGGGGAUGAAGGCCUUCGGGUUGUAAACUCCUUUCGCUAGGGACGAAGCUUUUUGUGACGGUACCUAGAUAAGAAGCACCGGCUAACUACGUG
rnacentral:rRNA from 1 species